UCCAGAAGCCUGCAACAUCUGCAGAAAGGGAGGAGCAGAUGAACACUACAAGGGACACUGCAACUGGUAUAGUCACCGUCACUUCCUCCUGCUAGGCCAGGAACGCACCACCAUCUCACAGCAACUGAGGAGGAGACAGCAGCAACUGCCUGACUGAGUCUGGGUCUUUACAUCAGUAUCCCUAGAUGUUAUAUAUACAUAUCAGAAGAUUCUGAAAGGUGAAGAGAAGAAGCCAGGCUGGUCAGGGACUUCAGAACCCAAGGAAUAACUCAAAGUGAUCCAGGAUAAAAGCCAUGAAGCUACAGGUGGAUGAGAGACCAGUUGCAGGAGUGCAAAGACCAACUACGGCCAGAGAGAGUAAUGGAUUAUCCAGAAGGAUAAAGUGCUAUUUCCUUGAUGACACUGACACUUUCAAGAAUGUGAGUGUCUUUGCAGGAGGAACAGGCUUCUUGAGCAAAAACCCAGGAGAUGAUAAGGAGAAGCAUCCAGGCAUUCUUUGAAGACGGAAGUCCCCCAGGAGCUGUCAGAGUGGGAGAUGACCUGGGGGAGGGGCUGCCAGCUUUCCCACCCUCCUCUUCCAGACACAUGUGUGUUGAUGACUCGGAACCAGUAAGGACCUGUGCAUGCUGAGUGCCACACGUGAGGACUGCAGGGCUGAGUGGGCCAAAGGUUUUCAGCACUGUCUCUUGGACUGCUAAUCAUUUAAGAUGCUCCCUGUCCCUGCCAUCAUCAGCACCACUUGCUCAGGAACUGCUUAUUGCUCACUACUAUCUCUGACCAGGGCAAAGCUCGGGGCAGUACUAUCAUCUCCCUUUUGCUGUAAGGGAACGGAGUCAAAGAGAAGCAAAGGAACUUGAGGUCUAGGAAGUGAAACUAAGGAGUCAGGCCCAGAGGGCUCUUGGCUCUAACCCAGUGAUGGGGAACAUUUUAGGGACCGAGUGCCCAAAUGACAAGAAAUUAUACUGCAAACACUGCCCUGCACUGCAUGAGGAGUUGGCAUACCUCACCUGUUGACAGCUGAGAGAACACACACAGAGGGUAAGGCUUGAACUCCCAGCCCUCCAACACUUAGCAAAGCAGGAAGGAACUCCAGCCCGCGGCAGAUGCAGGGAAGUCCAGCCACCCAAGGGGAGAUGAUAUUUGUAACCUUGUCAAGAGGGACAGGACUCUAGCCACCCCUGAGUGUCAUUCCAAGGGCUACAGGAAGGAGGCUACAGCGUCCAAGAAGAGAAGCCCUGGACUAAGGGCUGGGGGAGCUGGACUCUGCUUCCAGAUGCAUGACCUGAGGAUGACCAUUUCCCCUCUCUGAGCAUCAGUCGGCUCCUUUGUAAAUUAAGGUGAUUGGUUCCUAUGAACUCUAAAGCUCUCUUUUGUUCUGAUGCUCUUUGUUCUGUCCAGAAAAUUGUGGUUCACUCUGGGAAGAGACCUCAUAAAGGGUUGUCUGCAGCUGACACCUCAUAGAGGUUGGAGAAUACCCACCCCACACCCCUGUGCCAACUGGCCUUAGGAGGGAACUGGACGUGCAGCAAAUAUCACUGGCAUUGGCCGAUGCUGAGCGGGUGAUGCCUGUGCUUCUAAUGAGCUGCCUUGAAGUGCCUAAGAGGACAAAAGCACCUGCCACUGGGCUCUGUGGGAGAUUAGGACUGGCCACAGAUGGGCAGUGCCUGAAGGGGUGUGGAUGGGGUUCUUCAUACAACUGUGGAUCUACGAGAAGACAAGAAGUUUUGCCUGGGAGCUGAUCUAGGAUGCCAAAGCAACAAAGGAGGAAGGUGGCCACAAAGUUCUACAGCUACACUUCUAGAUUUAACUGGUCAGAUCAGUAAUCUUAUUCCAUAAAGGGUCGCAUGACCCCUUUCAUAUUUGGGAGCCAAAUGACUGCCAUCAUAAUGACUCAACCCUACAGUUGUGACUUAAAAAUAGUCAUGAUGGUGUGUACACAGUAGGUGAAGCUGUGUGCAGAAAAAAAAUGAGCAAUAUUAUGCAUUUGACCCUUAUCCUGUGGUCUUCCGGCUUUUGGGUUUGGCCAUCAGGUGCUCAAACUGAUGAUGAUGUAUCCUCAGCAUCUCAAGGAUGGGGUACCCACAGCUUAUUAAAUGUUCCUGUUACAUAUAAGCAAUGGAUCAUGUUAGUAGAGAGACUGGCUCGAGAAACAAUGGCAUUAGUCUCCAGCCAGUGUCACUUUUGCCCACUCAUUGUCCUGGAGUCUGACAGCUCCUUGAUUCCAAAGACAGCCUGAUAACAAGAAGACAUGGGGAUGAUGGAGGGUCAGACUCCUGAACCCUUCCUGUCCUCAUAACUUCUCUGCCUUCUGGGGAAAAACAAUUUCCUAAGGUGUGGGAAGACAGUAACUAUUUCAAGAAAACACCAUCUGCUAAAACAAACACUUGCUUUUUUGACUCCACCCAUACUUAAACAAAUCCUAUGGCUCAUGUAAAAGUAGGUUUCUUACAAUGCCUGACCAUUUCUGUACCUGUCACUGUUCCGAGACAUGCUGUACUGUGUGGUUUUAGAGGCUCUUCAUUGAGUGUCAGCAACAGGUAGACAACUGUCCACACUCGGAUGUCCACUGCGACUUUUUGAUUUCUGCUUCCCAUGAGCCCAGGUCUGUUCUUCCCGCAGCUUUUAGAUAUCAUGAAAAUGCUGUCUUCAAUUAUGAGAGUGCUUGUGCCUGAGCCCCAGGAAUCCUGGCUCUCCUUCCCCCUAGUUCUCUGCAUGUUUGGCUUGUUCUUGUCCUCACAUCUCAGUUCAACUGCAACCAUCUCACAGAAGUCACCAUAUCUAAAACUUAGCCCAAAUAUAAUCGCACCACUCUACCUGUUUAAUCCAAAGGCACACCUUAGUCUGAAAUAACUUUAGAGAGAUGUCUAUUUACUAUUGCUUCUACUAUAGGAAUCUAAUCUCCAUUAGGGCACCAAUUUUAUCAAUUUGGUCUGCUGUUGCUUCCCCAGUUCCUAGGAGAAUACCUGACACAGAAUCUGUAUCCAGUAAAUAUUUGUUCAUUGGUUAAGCAACCUCCCUUCACAACAGAUGGAGAAGAAUUCCAGAAAUCCUUUCCUUCUCCUUCUCCUUCUCCCUUCCCGGGACACUUACCUGGCACUUCCAUCUCAUAGGAGAGAUGAAGGAUCGAUUGUUAAAUAUGAGCACAAUGAGAUACAUCUGAUCUAUCAAACUUCUUCAUCUUGCAUAAUUGAAACUUUAUAUCCACUGCACUGCCCCUUAGCCUCUUUCCUCUAGCUCCUGGAAGCCUCCAGUCUUCUUUGUGCUUCUGUGAAUGUGGCUAUUUUAGGUAAGUCAUGUAAGUAGAGUCAUACAAUGUAUAUCCCGUGACUGGCUUAUUUCACUUGACGUGUCCUCAGAGUCCAUCUAUGGGUCUCAUACGCUGAGACUGAAGAAGGAUUCUUUUUUGAAGGGUGCUGGAGAUCCCACAGUGACUUGCCUCCUAGCCAACAGUGGAAUGAGGAAGUAACAGUGCAUGUGAGGCUCAGGGGCCCGGAGCAGCAGUGGUUCCUGAGACUCUGAGUUUCAGUCUCCUUGCUCUGAGAUAGGAUCAACAACAGCCACCUCCCAGAGUUACUGUCAAACCUAAUGAGAAGACACGGAUGAAGCUAAUGCCUCAGAAGAAUCCCAGAAACCCGGAGAGGGGUGAAACUUUGGUGUGCUGCCUAGCUGGGCAUAUUGACAAUGCCACAUCCCAGGGGCACAUCAAAGUGGAAGGAAGGGAGCUCCAUGAAACAGAAAUUUUACUUUAUCACUUCUCUGUGCCCAGGGCCUAGAACAUGACUGAUAUAUGCAGGCUCUCGAGACUUGAGGUGAAUCAUUCAGUGAAAUCUACCUGUUCUUACUGGAUAUUAGUCAAACAUGGCAGGCACAGGAAUCAAGUGAAUUAGUCUGAAUCUGCACCACUAAUAAUCUUUGUGCUUAGUUAUAACUAAAAAUAAGUAAAUAAGUACACAAAGAAGGAAAAAUCAAAAUGUGAGGACUGUAAUGACGUAUCUUGAACCAGUUUGGGAGUCAACUAUAGGAUUUAGCACCUUGAACCCUUGUUCUUCUGUUAUUUUAUUUUUAUGUUAAGUUAUUUUUAUCUAACUGUUGUUUUACCCCUUUCUUGUCUUUUUCAUGUUUAGAUUUGAUAGAUUUCCCAGCAACAAGUCUUCCAUAUUAUUUUUCUACCAUGCUUCACUUCACCCCAACAGACUCUGGGAUUAACUUGGGCAAUCCAUUCUGUUCACAUGAGGGAGCUCUUCAUUUGGGCUGGUGUGUGUGGAAACACAGUAAGUUGCUUACUCAGAAACAGCCAUUCUCUGUAGACUGUGGUGAGGAUGCAACUGCUUGGGUUUCAGAUUUGAGUCCCUUCAUGUCCUUGCCCUGGUGCCUAGGACUAAUGGUAUCAAGGCCCCUCCAAACCAGGUCGGUUCUGAGAGCUACCAAUUUCCUGCUAAGUCAGUUCCCAAGCAAAGCAGUGCAUGACAAUCAUUUGAUACUUACCUACUCAGA